UACGUAGGGGGCAAGCGUUAUCCGGAUUUACUGGAUGUAAAGGGAGCGUAGACGGCUUUGCAAGCCAGAUGUGAAAGCCCGGGGCUCAACCUCGGGACUGCAUUUGGAACUGUAUGGCUGGAGUGUCGGAGAGGCAGGCGGAAUUCCUAGUGUAGCGGUGAAAUGCGUAGAUAUUAGGAGGAACACCAGUGGCGAAGGCGGCCUGCUGGACGAUGACUGACGUUGAGGCUCGAAAGCGUGGGGAGCAAACAGG
rnacentral:rRNA from 1 species